AUUGAACGCUGGCGGUAGGCCUAACACAUGCAAGUCGAGCGGAUGAAGGGAGCUUGCUCCUGGAUUCAGCGGCGGACGGGUGAGUAAUGCCUAGGAAUCUGCCUGGUAGUGGGGGAUAACGUCCGGAAACGGGCGCUAAUACCGCAUACGUCCUGAGGGAGAAAGUGGGGGAUCUUCGGACCUCACGCUAUCAGAUGAGCCUAGGUCGGAUUAGCUAGUUGGUGGGGUAAAGGCCUACCAAGGCGACGAUCCGUAACUGGUCUGAGAGGAUGAUCAGUCACACUGGAACUGAGACACGGUCCAGACUCCUACGGGAGGCAGCAGUGGGGAAUAUUGGACAAUGGGCGAAAGCCUGAUCCAGCCAUGCCGCGUGUGUGAAGAAGGUCUUCGGAUUGUAAAGCACUUUAAGUUGGGAGGAAGGGCAGUAAGUUAAUACCUUGCUGUUUUGACGUUACCAACAGAAUAAGCACCGGCUAACUUCG
rnacentral:rRNA from 1 species